rfam:Pteropus alecto contig66837, whole genome shotgun sequence.
GUCUACGGCCAUGUCACCCUGAACAAGCCCGAUCCCAUCUGAUCUCAGAAGCUAAGCAGGGUCGGGCCUGGUUAGUACUUGGAUGGGAGACCACCUAGGAAGACCAGGUGCUUAUAGGCA